rnacentral:lncRNA from 1 species
CCAUGUGGUCGAAAUCUUCCAAUCUCCCAGCACACCACCCGGGGGACGGUGCAUCCUCCUGGAAAGUGAACCACACACACAGCUCCGCUGGAAACAGGAGACUUCCGCCAAACAUGAGACAAGGGGCCUGGAAUAUUUCAGUUGUGUCCUAUUAGGUGCUCCGCUAACAUUCUGCUUUCUCUUCUGAGCCCUCAAUACGCUGCCCCAGCACAGGUGGAAGAUGCCCCCUACACAUUUCAAGCCGACUAAUCACAGGGGAAGAAACACGGUGUGUUUUAACCGCUUUCUACGGGCUUCUUAUGCCUUCAGUCUGCGCGUUCCUGCAGUCACCUCUGAAGGGGGAACCAGAUCAUCCAAAGCUUCUGGCUCUAAUACCAGGUGGCCUUACGUAAACUGUCUCAGGGUCCUCAUUUGCAAAUAAAGGACUUAAACUA